UACGUAGGUGGCAAGCGUUGUCCGGAAUUAUUGGGCGUAAAGGGCGCGUAGGCGGCCAUGCGUGUCUCCCGUGAAAUCCCUCGGCUCAACCGAGGACGUGCGGAAGAAACUGCAAGGCUCGAGUCCGGAAGAGGGGGGCGGAAUUCCCAGUGUAGCGGUGAAAUGCGUAGAUAUUGGGAGGAACACCAGUGGCGAAGGCGGUCCCCUGGGCCGGAACUGACGCUGAGGCGCGAAAGCGUGGGUAGCAAACGGG
rnacentral:rRNA from 1 species